rnacentral:snoRNA from 1 species
UUUUCAUCUUUGAUCAUUAUCGAGAUGAAAUCAUCAG